rnacentral:rRNA from 1 species
AGUGAACGCUGGCGGUAGGCCUAACACAUGCAAGUCGAACGGCAGCACAGUAAGAGCUUGCUCUUACGGGUGGCGAGUGGCGGACGGGUGAGGAAUACAUCGGAAUCUACUUUUUCGUGGGGGAUAACGUAGGGAAACUUACGCUAAUACCGCAUACGACCUACGGGUGAAAGCAGGGGAUCUUCGGACCUUGCGCGAUUGAAUGAGCCGAUGUCGGAUUAGCUAGUUGGCGGGGUAAAGGCCCACCAAGGCGACGAUCCGUAGCUGGUCUGAGAGGAGGAUCGGCCACACUAGAACGUGGACACGGUCCAGACUCCUACGGGAGGCAGCAGUGGGGAAUAUGAGGCAAUGGGGGCAAGCCUGGUCCAGCCAUACCGCGUGGGUGAAGAAGGCCUUCGGGUUGUAAAGCCCUUUUGUUGGGAAAGAAAAGCAGCAGGUUAAUACCCCGCUGUUCUGACGGUACCCAAAGAAUAAGCACCGGCUAACUUCGUG